rnacentral:snoRNA from 1 species
AAGUGAUGAUCUCCUUAGAUGACGAGUCUGAAUCGAGGUUUUUCUCGCUGAAGACACAACUAAUAAUAUUCCAUUCAUGCAUUUCUGACA